rnacentral:misc_RNA from 1 species
AGUAUGACUGGUUCAAUAGAUUUACAGCAUCACAGCUAACAGACGUGACCAGUACACCAAGGCUAUCUAAGUACGACUGGUACAAAAGAUUUACAGCAUCACAGCUAACAGACAUGACUAGUACACCAAUGCUAUCUAAAUAUGACUGGUACAAUAGAUUUACAACAUCACAGCUGACAGACGUGACCAGUACACCAAGGCUAUCUAAGUCCGACUGGUACAAAAGAUUUACAGCAUCACAGCUAACAGACGUGACUAGUACACCUAGGCUACUUAAGUACGACUGGUACAAUAGAUUUACAACACCACAGCUUACAGACGUGACUAGUACACCAAGGAUAUCUAAGUACGACUGGUACAAUAGAUUAACAACAUCACAGCUAAAAGACGUGACCUGUACACCAAGACUAUCUAAGUACGAUUGGUACAAUAGAUUUACAGCAUCACAGCUAACAUACGAGACCAGUACACCAAGGCUAUCUAAGUACGAGUGGUACAAUAAAUUUACAACAUCACAGCUGACAGACGUGACCAGUACACCAAGGCUAUCUAAGUCCGACUGGUACAAAAGAUUUACAGCAUCACAGCUAACAGACGUGACCAGUACACCAUGGCUAUCUAAGUACGACUGGGACAAUAGAUUUACAGCAUCACAGCUAACAGAUGUGACUAGUACACCAAGGCCUUCUAAGUACGACUGGUACAAUAGAUUUACAACAUCACAGCUUACAGACGUGACUAGUACACCAAGGCUAUCUAAGUACGACUGGUACAAUAGAUUUACAGCAUCACAGCUAGCAGACGUGACUAGUACACCAAGGCUAUCUAAGUACGACUGGUACAAUAGAUUUACAGCAUCACAGCUAACAGACGUGACUAGUACACCAAGGCUAUCUAAGUACGACUGGUACAAUAGAUUUACAGCAUCACAGCUAACAGACGUGACCAGUACACCAAGGCUAUCUAAGUACGACUGGUACAAUAGAUUUACAACAUCACAGCUAACAGACGUGACCAGUACACCAAGGCUAUCUAAGUACGACUGGUACAAUAGAUUUACAACAUCACAGCUAACAGACGUGACCAGUACACCAAGGCUAUCUAAGUACGACUGGUACAAUAGAUUUACAACAUCACAGCUAACAGACGUGACCAGUACACCAAGGCUAUCUAAGUACGACUGGUACAAUAGAUUUACAACAUCACAGCUAACAGACGUGACCAGUACACCAAGGCUAUCUAAGUACGACUGGUACAAUAGAUUUACAACAUCACAGCUAACAGACGUGACCAGUACACCAAGGCUAUCUAAGUACGACUGGUACAAUAGAUUUACAACAUCACAGCUAACAGACGUGACCAGUACACCAAGGCUAUCUAAGUACGACUGGUACAAUAGAUUUACAACAUCACAGCUAACAGACGUGACCAGUACACCAAGGCUAUCUAAGUACGACUGGUACAAUAGAUUUACAACAUCACAGCUAACAGACGUGACCAGUACACCAAGGCUAUCUAAGUACGACUGGUACAAUAGAUUUACAACAUCACAGCUAACAGACGUGACCAGUACACCAAGGCUAUCUAAGUACGACUGGUACAAUAGAUUUACAACAUCACAGCUAACAGACGUGACCAGUACACCAAGGCUAUCUAAGUACGACUGGUACAAUAGAUUUACAACAUCACAGCUAACAGACGUGACCAGUACACCAAGGCUAUCUAAAUAUGACUGGUACCCUAAAUGUACUAGAACAGUACCAACACAGAAAUAAGGUGUGAUAGUGUUGAGCUACUAUUUAUAGAAAUAAGGUGUGAUAGUGUUGAGCUACUGUUUAUAGAAAUAAGGUGUUAGUGUUAAAUGGCUAAUACUCAGGUGUGUAUUUCCUUUGGAUUAUUAUUUCUGUGAUUCUGUUAUCAGUAUAUUAUAUUUAUUAUUCUAUUAGAUUUUUUUGCAGUGAAUGUGGAGUGUGUUUAAACACAUUUGGUCACGUCAGCUGUUGCAGGCAUGAAUCAUUUCCUCGUGAACAAAUAUUAAAUGUAGACAAUGGCGGCGUACUCCUCUGGUGAACCUGUUAAGGUAAUGAUGAAUGUGAGCUUGUCUGCUCUGUGGGUGAAACCUUUAGUGGAUGGGAGUCUGAAAGUAGAGAAGUGCUUGAAAUUGAUAUAGCAGGAUAUGCAUGGAUGGAAUCAAUUGUUGCAGCAUUUGACGUUAUAGUUAUAUUAAGUAUUUUACCUCAGCAACACUAAGUAAAGGCUAUAUACAUUGCUCUAAUUCAUUGUCAAAGUAUACAGUCAGCUGCUGUUACCUGUUCAACAACAAGACCUGUAAGUCAAAGCCGGUGUAGAAUAGUAAUAAUAAGGGUGUAGUUGGGAGGGCACAUGGUAUAUUUUACUUAUAUGAAUAAGUUUCAAUCACGUUAUGUGGUAAGAAAUGUCGGCUAACAAUGGUGUUCAUUCAAUCUUGUAUAACUUUAUAUUCCCUACAUUACAUCUGUAGCCUUUUCUUGGUCAUAAACCGCCUUGUGGAUCCACUCCAGAUAUGAAGUGUUAUUUCUUAUCAUUUUCAUCUUGGUCUCAAUGAGAUAUUUUGUGUAAGCGUUUAUAUAAAAUGGUUGGUUUUCCUUAUAAUUCUUAUAUGGUAUUAAUAAAGUUUUGA